AUUUUUUUGAAGUGUUUCUGUAACUCAGAAAAGUCACCUUUCGUUAUGGUUGUGGUGAGUCGUUAUCAAUGUUAUAGAAAAUGUGCUAUAACUAAAAUGAAUGCAUAAACGUCUGUCAAUGUACACGAAUAUAUUUGUUUUGUUUACUGCAAAAAAGUUUUGUUUACUCUUAUUUUUUUAUUCUGAAUCAAAUUAUGAUAGCUGCUGCAUUAUUUGCCUUAUUGGAGGACCAACGGAAUAUGUUACGCGUUCAUCGGCGACAUCUGAGGGAUACAACUGACCCAUUUCAUUUGCCGGAAGCUCGCUUUGAAGAGCUAUUCCGUUUUAAAAAAGAUCCCGCAAUAGCCUUGUUACAAGAGCUAAGUCCUCAUAUGAAAAGUGGCGAAAGGCGUGCGUUUGUCCCAAAAUCAUUAAGAAUGAGUGCAGCACUUCAUUACUAUGCGACAGGAUCAUAUUUGAGAGACGUUGGCCAAGAUUUUGUGUGCUCAUUAAGCAAGACAGUUGUGUGUCGUGCAGUAAAAGAAGUCACAAACAUCAUUGAAGGAAAAUUAAUGUGUAAAUACAUUAAAUUUCCAACAUCUUUAGAGGAACAAAACAAAAUAAAACAAACGUAAGAAAAUCAUUAUAUAGGUACAUAAAAAAUAUUGUGUAUGUACAUAUGUGUUUAUAUUUUUACAGAUUUUUUUCAUCUACAGGUUUAUUCCAUAUAUAUAUAUAUACAUACAUGCAUAUGUUUAUAUAUAAUAUACUGAACGAACCUUUUUCCACUGCUCAACGGUUUUACAUGCUCCUCCGCAUGCAUUCAAUUCCGCUGUGAGAGUUGCCCAAACAGCAUUAGCAGCUUUGCCGCUGUUUGGGCCACCAAAUUGUCCGUUAUCAACAUUUCUAUGAUUUUUCAAUAAAUCUAGAAAUUUUUGUUUUUGUUGUUUGGUACCUUUUCCACUUCUUACUUUUUUCUGUUAAUAAUAUAAACAAUAUAAACAUAAACAAACUGUUUAGUCCAAACAAAUACUCCUCUGCAUUGCUCUCCAAAAAGUAAUGGAUAGGUAAUGCAGAGGAGAUAAACCGCCCCAACUUCACCUAUCACUGAUCACCCUUUACACAACAACAUAGAGAAAAACAAGGAGUGAACAAGUGCACAACACGAACAUACAAAAAAGCCGCGCUUUUAAGUAAAGUGAACGAAAGACACAAUUUAAGGUGAAAAAUAAAUCACUAAGAAUAACAUAAACCCAAACGCAAACUCAAACACAUACUUCAAGUGAAAGAAGAGAAAUUCCCAAAAACACAAAACCCAAUCCAACAUAAAUAAAGAAGAAGGAAAACAUUCAACACAGAGGAGUCUAAACAUAACACAACUCAGGAAGGAGGAAUUCACACAGAACACAAAACAUCACAAAGAGAAACCACAGGUCAAUAUAAAUUUUGAUACACUAACAAUAAAUUAUAACUAAUUACACUUAGAACAAUUAACCCAUAUUGUUAAUACACACUUACUCAAUAUAUACGAAUUUAUAACGUUUAAACACAAACAACUCUUUUCUUCAAACGGAUCGGCCUCAACGUCAUCUUAACUCGACACAAACCAUCAACAUUUUUCCAGCUACCUCGCUCAUCUUUAUUUUGGCGCAAAAUAUCACUGCAAUUUUUUUAAUGAUAUAAUAACGAAUAUCAUAACGAAAGAAAUAACGAAAAUGCUUUUCACCAGACUUACAGAAACACUACACUUCGUUAUACUAGUGAAUUCGAUAUAUCGUUCGUUAUUAUGCAUAACGAAAAGUUACAGAAACGCACUAAUGUUUCUUUA